GUCACUCGGAAUGAAAAGAGUCGGAGGCUACGGACUUGCCGGCAUUGACGGGUUUGAGGUAUGGGGAUCCUUCAGAACAAGAAAACCUCCUCCUCUUCUCCUUCUUCAACAUCGCCUUGCGCCAAUCUCAGAGCUGCUUACCACAACUGCUUCAACAGGUGGUAUUCGGAGAAGUUUGUAAAGGGUAAUUGGGACAAAGAGGAAUGCGUUUCGGAGUGGGAGAAAUACAAAGCUUGUCUAUCUGAACAUUUGGAAGAUAAACAACUGAGUCGGUUCUUGGAGGCUGAAGGACCUGUGAGCACCACCACUGCAACCAAAGCCCAUGGCGGGCGGUCCUAAUGAUCUUUCUCAGUAGAAUUCGGUUUGCACCAAGUUGGAGAGUGAAUUAGAGAAACAGAAAAGAUAGAUAGGGAUUUUGUUGUUUGUCGAGCACACAGAGAAAGAGAGGGAGAAGAGAACGGGGGAAGAAGGAAAAGAAGACGGGAGGGAUCAGAAACUCUUGCUUGCUUGAGAGAAAACAAGUGGAAGACCAGCACUUGCUAUGUUCAAUG